ensembl:lncRNA
AGGGAUGAGUGGAUAACGUAUUUCUAUAAAAAAAAAUUUGUAUUUUUAUGUUAGUUCAUGCACAUAAUUUAAACUAUUCACACGUAAAAAAAAAAAAAUCUAAACAUGUUUUAGUUCAUUAACCUUCAAGUAGUCUAAUUUAUGAUUUAUGAACUUAAUUUAUAGUCCUUUAGAGUUGAUUUGUUGAAAUUGUUUUUAUUAUAACCAGUAGGGGUCUCCUUUGAGCCUAAAUAAAGUUACUGAUCACGUGGAGUGAAACAGUCUUUAUAAAACAGAGCAUUGAGUUUGUGUUCGUUUAAAGUGGUUCAUUCUACACAUCCUGUUCAGACCUCACACACACUGCUGUUCAUUCAUGUCAUUCCUCCAGCACUGAAGCAUCAACAUGAUAUUUAUAGUGUGCUUCAUUUAUUUAGCAGCACCUCCAUUCUGGGUCUCAGGAGAAUCACUAAGUGAUCAAGUUCAUCAGAAUCCACCUCAUCUGAUAACAAAUGCUGAGAAAACAGUUCAGCUCAGCUGUUCUCACACCAUUACAGGCUAUAGAAUGAUAUUAUGGUAUCAGCAGCUGAAGGGUGACAGUGCACUAAAUCUUAUUGGAUAUGUGAAUUACAAAGAUCCAACCACUGAAAACCAUAAAACUCAGUUUGCCAUCGGAGGAAAUGGUGCAGAAUCCUCUACUCUUAACAUUACAUUAAAAAAGGAACAUGUUGGGAGUACUGCAGUAUAUUACUGUGCUGCCAGUAGAGCACAGUGUGGAAGAUCCUUUAAUCACUCUUACAAAAACCUUCUGUUAAACCCUGUCACCACAACAUUAUUAGCACCUGAAUGCACCCAUGCACCCCCAAACAUGAUCACUCAGUGCACCCAUAUUAAGUUGUUGUAUGAUUAAUAUUAUACGCUAUUAUGUCUCUAAGCAUUUAAUUCAUAUAUACAAUUAUAAAUUUUAUUGUUUUUAAAAUGAUUUCAUAUAUAAUUCAGCUGUCUCCAUUGCUGUUAAUUGCUUGCCUUAUCCGUUACUUAUUAUUCUUUGUAUUUUUUAAAGUGUAAAGUGAAAUUGAUGAUGCAGUCACUGUAAUUCUUAUCAUGCAUCUACAAAGUACAUGCGUUCAAUAAUUAAUUAAUUAUUAUUUUUUUUUUUGAAUGAGGGACUAAUCUAUUCCAGCAUUAUAUGUCCAUUCCAUUAGAUGUCCUCACAGAAAACUAUAGCUACUGAGUUUCUUGUCUCAUAAAAACUAAAAUCUUCUUCUAUUAUGUAAACAAAAAUAACUUAUUUAAAUAGUUUUUUAUUUAUUUAUUUAUUUUUUAAGAAUCAUUGAGACUAAUUGUUUUUAAUUAAAAUCCCUUCCUCGUUUUCUCUCCUUGCUUUACAGAUUUGGGAUUAAAGCAAUCACCUCAUCUCUUUGUAACUGAGGAUCUUAAUGUGACCCAAAAGUGUUCCUAGAUUGGAACAUCACAUAACAGCAUGUACUGGUUCAGAAAAACACCCACUGAACCUUUGGA